rnacentral:rRNA from 1 species
UUACCCCUACGGGACGCAGCAGUAGGGAAUCUUCGGCAAUGGGCGAAAGUCUGACCGAGCAACGCCGCGUGAGUGAAGAAGGUUUUCGGAUCGUAAAACUCUGUUGGUAGAGAGGAACGUUGGUGAGAGUGGAAAGCUCAUCAAGUGACGGUAACUACCCAGAAAGGGACGGCUAACUACGUGCCAGCAGCCGCGGUAAUACGUAGGUCCCGAGCGUUGUCCGGAUUUAUUGGGCGUAAAGCGAGCGCAGGUGGUUUAUUAAGUCUGUUGUAAAAGGCAGUGGCUAAACCAUUGUAUGCAUUGGA